UAGGCCUUAAGAAAUCAGUCUUUAGGCAUU
rnacentral:piRNA from 1 species